rnacentral:rRNA from 1 species
GACGAACGUUGGCGGCGUGCUUAAUACAUGCAAGUCAACUGAAGCAGUGGUAGCAAUAUCGCUGUGGAGGUGGCGCACGGGUGAGUAACACGUAGGUAAUCUGCCUUCAGGUCUGGCAUAACUCCGGGAAACCGGGGCUAAUAGCAGAUGAUGCAGCGGCUCGACAUCGAGACAGUUGUUAAAGCUAUGGCGCCUGAAGAUGAGCCUGCGUCUGAUUAGCUAGUUGGCGGGGUAACGGCCCACCAAGGCAACGAUCAGUAGCUGGUCUGAGAGGAUGAUCAGCCACACUGGAACUGAGACACGGUCCAGACUCCUAUGGGAGGCAGCAGUAAGGAAUAUUGCUCAAUGGGAGAAAUCCUGAAGCAGCAACGCCGCGUGAGGGACGAAGGGCUUUUGCUUGUAAACCUCUGUAGUGAGAGAAAAAAAUCCCAAUCUUUGGGACAUGAUGGUAUCUCAAAAGUAAGCCCCGGCUAACUACGUG